rnacentral:rRNA from 1 species
ACGGGUAGUAACGUAACCGUACGGUUAACCGGUAACGUACCCGAACCCGUAAGUAGGGGAAUAAGCCACCGAAAGGUGGUCUAAUACUUCAUAAUAUCCAUCUCGUAUGGAUUAAAGCUUUAUGCGCUUUGGGAGGGGCCUGCGUAACAUUAGCUUGUUGGUGAGGUAAAAGCUCACCAAGGCUUCGAUGUUUAACUGGUUUGAGAGGAUGACCAGUCACACUGGGACUGAGAUACGGCCCAGACUCCUACGGGAGGCAGCAGUAAGGAAUCUUCCACAAUGGGGCAACCCUGAUGGAGCAAUACCGCGUGCAGGAUGAAGCGUUUCGGCGUGUAAACUGCUUUAAUCACCGAAGAUUAUGACUGUAGGUGAAGAAUAAGGACCGGCUAACUACGUG